rnacentral:tRNA from 5 species
GAGAGAUUAGCUCAUAUGGAUAGAGCGUUGGCCUCCGAAGCCAGAGGUGGCGGGUUCGAAUCCCGCAUCUCUCAUCA